GCAAGAUAUCCGAUAUUUAAAUAUUUAAAAGUUUAUUUUAUAAUUAUAUAUAUUAAAUUAGUCCUUAAGGAGUUCGGAUAGUAUAUAUGCAGGUAUUUUUAUUUGGAUUUAGAUAAAUUUAAAUAAUAAAGAUAAUUUUUAAAUGAAUUUAGAACAUAUUUAGAUAUAUAUAUUUUAAUGGAAUUUUAAUUUAAUUUUUUUUCAAAUAUACAAAAUGUCCAUUAUGGCUUAUCAUCUUAUUGGUUAAAACAAAAAACCGUAAAACUAGCUUGCAAACAAAAUUCUAGCAUAUAUACAAAAUUUUUCUCUUUAACUUUCGUUCCAAUUAUGUGUGCAGAAAUUAAUCAACCAACCCGAACAAAAAACUCCAUUUGGCAUGGGCGACUAAAGGCACGCCAACACAGCAGAAGAAUAUGCAAUUGCUAAUAACACAGAAGUAAUUAAAAAAAAAAAAAACAGAAACUAGCCGUUGGGGCUCACAAAAUCAAAUGUUUAUAUUGUGGGUCACAACACAAAGCUGCCCUUUUUUCUUCAUUAAAGACACAGACAAACAAAUCUCUUCUUCUUCGUCCUCAAAAAUACCCAUUCUCUUUCCUUCUCUCUCUAAAAACUCCUCCCUCUCUCUCUCUCUCUUUCUCUGAUUCAGUUUGAAAAGCUUGCCGCAUUGUUCUUAUCUUGAGAAUUCCACGGCACAGAGAGACUUUACAAUUAAGAUUCUUGAUUAGAGAUUUACAAUGAAAAUGUCAGGGACCUGCUGAAUUCAGAAUCAGAAAGUUGCUGUGGUCGAGAAGUUGGUGGAAGAAACCACAACCAAUGAUCAACAUUUGAGCCAUCUUAUAAGUAUGCGUGACUAGUGAAGAACUGUAUCUUUGUGUUGGUGUAGCUUCCUUCGCCGCUGCAAGCAUUAGAAUAACAGUUUAUUAACCUUUCUGAAAUCACCCAUGAUUAUUAAAAUUUCGAAGACCUUGCUGGAAGUGAAACAGCUUCACAGACAUGCAGAUGGGGCUCAGAGAAUAUCAUUAAGAUAUUAUAUGCAUUAAAUGGGAGCAUGGCUUGAUUUUACUUUACUAAGUUGCUGAAACUAUAAGAGGGUUGGGAAACGAAGCGGUCAUAUACCCCUGCUGGGACUCCAACUUCCCAGCAAGUUUUGGAAAAUGAGAUUGAAAACAGAGCACCGCAAAAUGAAGACUUCAUUUCAUAUCCGGUGAGACCCAGCCAGAGUCUGAGAAAGAGAAUCCUACAAAAAGUGAAGAAUGUGGAGACGUUUCAUCACGGGAAGGAACUCCAGGCUAUUGUCGUUCUAAUUCAGUUAAUAUGAAGAAAAUGCAGCAUAGGAGAACGUGAGAAGCAUAAGAGCUUAUGUGACAGAAUUGAAGGAACAAGUUGCCAAACUGCAAUACCACAAGCAGCUACUUGUUUGCUAUAUAGUAUUUGCAGUUCAUUUGGUCCUCUACUACUAUAUUGGCCUGUUAAUUUCAUUUGAAUUUAUGUAGUAACUUAGUAUCAGGAAAUUCAUUUUCAUAUUCUUCAGGCUGGAAGCAAAUGAAGCGGCAUUUUGCAAUUCAAGUCCCGCUCCUCGUGCUGGAGAUGAGCUUACAAUUUCUCUAUCGUCAAGGUUUUUCUCUCUUUUUAGCCUACGAACUGACACAUUGCUUGGAGCUGUAAUGCUUAAACUAAUUUUCUUUUAUGUCUUGCAUAAACUAACUCGAGCAAUGAGACGUGAAAGAGAGUUUCUGGCAAAGAGGUUGACUUCACGUUUAAAUCCCGACGAGAGAAAGGGGCGUACAUGAAAUGGGGAAGCAGAGGAAACUGCAUUCUGUGAACAAAUCCACGUAUACACAUGAAAGUGCUGAGAUAGUGCGGCAAAGCUUGUAGGAUUCUGCGAGAUUCCAUUUGAGCUAAAGUUUGCACUACCAACAGAUAAGAGACCCUGAAUUAUGGGUGGAACCCAAUUUCAAAUCCACAUAUACACAUGAAAGUGCUGAGAUAGUGUGGCAAAGCUUGUAGGAUUCUUCGAGAUUCCAUUUGAGCUAAAGUUUGCACUACCAACAGAUAACAGACCCUGAAUUAUGGGUGGAACCCAAUUUCAAACCUUCUACAUUUGUGAGAAUUACAUUUUUCAUUUGUAAGUAUUUCCUAUUUCUGUACGUGUAAAAUGAAUUUAGAGGUUUUUUGACAAUGUAUCAUUUAUUUAUAUCUUUACUUUUGCUCAAAUUAUGGUGUUGACUGGUUGUGCAUAGGAAGAGGGUUUGGAUAUGGCAAUCUUCAUAUAUUUCAAGCAAGCAUUUCCUCUAUUGAUUGUUUGAUACCAGCAGGACAUUGUUGAAGAAGCCUUGGGGACCAUCUAUCCACCAGUAACAGGUUGUUUCUUUCCCAGUAUUUAUUUCAAACUUAUCAUCUUUACUUUUUUUCGUUUUUAUAUUCUUUAAUGAGUUCAAAUUACAUUACUAUAUUAUAUAAUUGUAUAAUAGGAUCAGGAUUGAAACAAACAUUUAAGUAGUAAAUUAAAAAAACCUAACAAAAUUUUUUAAAGAAAGCAAGUGGAUUUUAACUAAAGAUAAUGAAAAUUUCUAUUACAAUGGUUAUAAUUGACAUGAUAUUGUUUGAGCCAUUUGAUAAGUAUUUGUAAUAGUAACCCAGUGAAAACACUUUAGUUUUUGUCGGGUUAGCUUCCUUUGCACCGCAAGUAUUAAAUUAACAGUUUAUUAACUUAUUACUAGUAGUGCUUAUUAGCUUCUUUUGCAUUUGUGCUACAUCUCAUUUCCAAUAGCUUUAGUAUUAUUUUUAUAUUUAAUGUUUCUUUUUUAAUUUGCUUUUAAUUUUUAUUUUUACAUAAUUUGUUUGUUUAUUUGCUUCUUAGUUAAUUUCCUUUACUAACCUAAAAUUUUUUCACAGUUACAGAUUCUACUUACCCGAUUUAGAGAUCAUAACUGGACUUUUAGGAUUAGUUUUAGUUAAUUAAUUAGUUAAAUUAUUUAUUUUUGAGGUUUUUAAGCCAUGAUUGUAAUUAAUUCCUCCCCUUAAUUGCCCCGAUCUCCUUAAUCC